rfam:Triticum aestivum genome assembly, contig: Triticum_aestivum_CS42_TGACv1_scaffold_082070_1DS
GGAUGCGAUCAUACCAGCACUAAAGCACCGGAUCCCAUCAGAACUCCGAAGUUAAGCGUGCUUUGGCGAGAGUAGUUCUAGGAUGGUGACCUCCUGGGAAGUCCUCGUGUUGCAUUCC